UCUUUUAUUUUUUAAGGCAUCUAAUGACCAAGAAUUUAAUUUAGUAGGGAGAAUUAAUUGUAGGCAACGUCAGCUAUAAAAUGGACUCAAAUCAGUAUUUUUCCACAUGCUGUUAUCAGCCUCUUAAAGAGCCACUGCUGAGGAGAGUUUUGAAAUGAAUAUUGAAAAUGAUGUAGUGUAUCCCAUCUGAAUGCUUGAUGAAGUGGAAGCAUUUAUUGCUUUGUCAUAAUGUCAAAUGUCUUUUGAGACAAUUGCUUAAAAUAUUUAUUUCAAUGAAAUGUAUUAGGUAAAAUUCAUGUAAAAUACCAUGUACCUGAAACCCCAAAUUCAACCAUCUGGUCUCACACUCUCUCUCCAGGAAGGGCUUUAAUCUAUCUGAGCUGGUGGUUGGCUCCCGAAUCCCUGCUCAGUCAUCCUAUCACCGUCACCGCCGUCCCGACCAGGAGGACCGGAGCUGUGUGCCAAGGCCAAGGGUAAUGUCCCCUCCAGGGAAAUGGCCAUGUCGACUCCAGUCACUAAGCAUGACCUCAGCAAACUACACCGGCUGGAUUUCUCCACAGAGGUGCAUUUGGGGUGGAGGGGACAGCUCCCCUAAACGUAGACGUCUUAGGAGUUUUUCUGUUCAAGCAAUUUCUUCCUUUUUUUUUUAUUUUUUAUUUUUUAUUUUUAUGCCUCUGAAGUCAUAUAGCACUACUAUCCCAGUGAGUCUCCACCCUGCCUACAUAUUUUAAUCUCGGGAAGCUUUUGAAAAAGACGAAUGUUUGUACCUGCAGCAAUGGUUCUUGAAUGUCAGUAUUGGAGUCACCAGGAGAGCUUGUUCAACACAGAUGUCUCACCCCCAGAGUUCUGACCCAGUAGGUCUGGGGUACGCCUGAGAAUGUGCAUUCCUAACAAGUGCCCAGGGGAUGCUCAAGUUCUUGGUUCAGGGACCGCACUUUGAGAACUAUCAUCUAAAGGUAUGGAAUUUAGUCUUUGACAGGGCCUGGGCACUUACAGUUUUGAAAGCUCCCCUGGGGACUCUAAUGUGCGGUUAGGGUUGAGAAUUAUUAAAUCUGGCAGACUUGGGAUCUUUAAGGCUGUCCAAGGACAUUCAAGUCCAGAGCUGAUGGACCUGGAGGCUGCAGGUGCCCCCGCCCAAGUGAGUGCAGAACCUGGGGUGAAUCAGGACACUGUCAUCCACCAGAAAGGAGUCUAGAGUCAGAGGGAUGAAAGUGGACACUUGAGAGAAUUUCAAGAUCAAGGACAAUGUAGCCAGAGAAGCCGAUUCAACAAACACAUAUUCAGUUAUACCUGCCCCUUCAUUUCAUGCAGUCACAGAGCAGAGACAGAUGAAUGCGGCAUUUGAACCUGAGUGCUGGCAUGCCUUCGCAUGAGGUUUGAAGAGCCCACUGGGUAUUCCCGUACCGGCAUCUUUGUGGCAGCUCCAUCUUGAUAAUGGAGCAGCCGUUGUUUCUUGAAUGGCGCGUUGGCUCUUCCCCUGAAGUCAUGUUCCCAUUGUGGGGAAUCCUCGGAGCCUCCUCCUUAAGGGGUGCUUACAGGAACGCGCCCACAGCUUCUGAAAGCAAGGCCAAACGGCGACGCCAGUUUUGAACACGGAUCUAAUCCUGUUGCUGCUAACAACACCGAGAACCUGAAAUGGGCCUGCCUCUACCGUAGAGCAAGUUCUGGGAGUGGGCCUGGCUGCCAGCUGAGGCUCUUUUAGUGUUGGAAAAACUCCUGUGCUGACUUGACCCCGGGGCACCAGCGCCAGGUGAGUCUGAGAUCUUCUGACACUCUCUGUUGUGGUUGUGACUGAAACCAGAGGCAGACCAAGGAACCGGAGCCUGGGAAUGAGAGGCGUCCCCAUGGCCCAGCGCGCAACCACACCAAGUAUGCACCAGCUGGAGACUGCUUCAGCACAUCGUCACAGAUCCAUACAAUGAAAUAUUUUGCAGUC